UACGAAGGGGGCUAGCGUUGCUCGGAAUCACUGGGCGUGAAGCGCACGUAGGCGGAUCUUUAAGUCAGGGGUGAAAUCCCGGGGCUCAACCUCGGAACUGCCUUUGAUACUGGGGAUCUCGAGUCCGGGAGAGGUGAGUGGAACUGCGAGUGUAGAGGUGAAAUUCGUAGAUAUUCGCAAGAACACCAGUGGCGAAGGCGGCUCACUGGCCCGGAACUGACGCUGAGGUGCGAAAGCGUGGGGAGCAACAGGG
rnacentral:rRNA from 1 species